GACGAACGCUGGCGGCGUGCUUAACACAUGCAAGUCGAACGACGUGGCGAACGGGUGAGUAAUACUUGGGUACCCUGCCCUCCUUUUUGGGUUAAGCCUUGGAAACGGGGUCUAAUACCGAAUACUGGGGGAUGGGCUCGCGGCCUAUCAGCUUGUUGGUGGGGUGAUGGCCUACCAAGGCGGUGAUGGGUAGCCGGCCUGAGAGGGUGACCGGGCACAUGGGGAGUGCGAUACGGCCCAGAGUGCUACGGGAGGGGGCAGUGGGGGAUAUUGCAGAAUGGGCGAAAGGCAAAUGCAGCGGAGCCACGAGGGGGAUGAGGGCGUACGGGUUGUAAACCUCUUUCGCUCGCGAACGGGUAGGUAGAGAAGAAGCGCCGGCUAACUACGUGCCAGCAGCCGCGGUAAUUC
rnacentral:rRNA from 1 species